GCAGUCGAACGGUAACAGGAAAUAGCUUGCUAUUUUGCUGACGAGUGGCGCACGGGUGAGUAAACUAUAGUUAAUGUACCCCAAAGACUGGGAUAGCCACUGGAAACGGUGAUUAAUACUAGAUACACCUUCUUAUCACAAGGUAAGAAGGGAAAUGUCUUUUCGCUUUGGGAUCAGACUAUAUCCUAUCAGCUAGUUGGUGAGGUAAUGGCUCACCAAGGCAAUGACGGGUAGCGGUUCUGAGAGGAUGAUCCGCCACACUGGUACUGAGACACGGACCAGACUCCUACGGGAGGCAGCAGUGAGGAAUAUUGCACAAUGGGGGGAACCCUGAUGCAGCAACGCCGCGUGGAGGAUGACGCAUUUCGGUGUGUAAACUCCUUUUAUAUGUCAAGAAAAUGACGGUAGCAUAUGAAUAAGCACCGGCUAACUCCGUGCCA
rnacentral:rRNA from 1 species